CCUGAGAGAGGAAAAUGUUAACAUUACCUUACACGGAAUGUUUAGAAGAAAUCCCCUUCCACCCCUGCCCCCGGUGCCAAACUUGGAAGAAUGACUUCAUGGAUGGAAAAGGAUUGACAAACAAGCUCCAGUGACACUGUUUUAUGUUGUCUAUCUACCUAGAAACCAUACCUGCCAAAGAACACAACUACAUUCACUGAGUGUCACGAACUUAACUCAUAUCACAGGAAGAGAGACUAAAGUCUGUCAACACAUCUGGACAGGGUUUUCUCACAAUUAUUUUCUCUGCUGGCCCAAUAGACUUUGUACCAGGCUGUUGUGUGUUCUUCAAACCCUUUGAAUCCUCCUAAAAAUAAUUUACUAGCCCUCAAAUUGUCACAUUUUAUGCAUCUCUCUUUCCCCAAUGAAUAAUGGUAUAUAACAUCUGUACACCAUUUGGUUAUUGGGAAAUCAUUCUCCUCUAAUUCCUCGAUGCUAUGCUAAAAUACAAUUUCGUAUGUCUUUUCUGCCACUAAUCUACCUUUCGUCAGUUGAUGUUUCAGUAGAUUUUUAGAGGGUAAAAGCUGAGUUUUAUCUUCACCCCUUCAGUUUUGGCACGAUGAGCAAGGAUAACUCAAAACCACUCUGCUCUCCUGGAA
ensembl:lincRNA